rnacentral:ncRNA from 1 species
CAAAGGCUUGGUCCUGACUUUACUAUCAACUUUAGCCGGAAUUAUACAUGCAAGUAUCCGCACCCCUGUGAGAAUGCCCCACAGUUCCCUGCCCGGGAACAAGGAGCCGGUAUCAGGCACACCUAGUCGUAGCCCAUAACACCUUGCUUAGCCACACCCCCAAGGGAACUCAGCAGUAACAAAUAUUAAGCCAUAAGUGAAAACUUGACUUAGUUAAAGCUAAGAGGGCCGGUAAAACUCGUGCCAGCCACCGCGGUUAUACGAGAGGCCCGAGUUGAUAGACACCGGCGUAAAAGGUGGUUAAGAUUAAAAUGAUACUAGGGCCAAACACCUUCCGAGCUGUUAUACGCACUCGAAGGCAGGAAGCACAACUACGAAAGUGGCCCUACACCCCCGAACCCACGAAAGCUAUGGUACAAACUGGGAUUAGAUACCCCACUAUGCCUAGCCUUAAACAUAGAUAGUGCAUUACGCUCACUAUUCGCCCGGGUACUACGAGCACUAGCUUAAAACCCAAAGGACUUGGCGGUGCUUUAGACCCACCUAGAGGAGCCUGUUCUAGAACCGAUGAUCCCCGUUCAACCUCACCCUUCCUUGUUUUCCCCGCCUAUAUACCGCCGUCGUCAGCUUACCCUGUGAAGGCACUUCAGUAAGCAAAAUUGGCACUGCCCAAAACGUCAGGUCGAGGUGUAGCGUACGGAAGGGGAAGAAAUGGGCUACAUUCCCUACUAUAGUGAACACGAAUGCUGUGUUGAAACACACAUCUGAAGGAGGAUUUAGCAGUAAGCAGGAAAUAGAGCGUCCUGCUGAAACUGGCCCUGAAGCGCGCACACACCGCCCGUCACUCUCCCCAAACCUGUUAACUCAAAUAACUAAAACCCCAUUUCCCAAAAAGGGGAGGCAAGUCGUAACAUGGUAAGUGUACCGGAAGGUGUACUUGGAAAAAU